UUGCAACAGCAGUUGCUGCUGUAUAUCUUAAGUUGCUGCUAUAUUUUGCGCUCUUGGCGCGCUCAGACAGAGAAAGCAACUUGCGAGAUUGUAAAGUGAAGAAAGAAAGGGGGUCACAACUUUCACGCGAUAUAAAAAUCAUGAUACCAAUUCGGCCGGGCCGCAUUUUCACGUCAACGCUGCGCCUAAAGAGAGGUCGUUUGUGUUUUGGUUUUUAUUCGUCGUCUACCAGCUAGCUUGUGUGCUGCGACUCAAAGUGUAAGAAAAUUGAUACGCUUGUGAAUUUUCGAUCGACGUCCUUCUUAGUGACAUUAACCCAAAAAUCAUUACAAUUAAAUAAAGAAACAAAAAAAAAUACAAUUUCAAUUGGAACUCAAUAUUUUCUCACACAUGAAAUUUAACGAUUAAUAAAAUUUGAAAUUCAAAUAGUGCCAAGUGCAAUAAAGAAACACAUAAAUUUGCGGCUGCUAUUUAAACUAUAGUGAGCGUGGAAAGCUUUAAAAAAAUCUGAUAAUAUAAAAAAAAAUCUGUUAAGUUUGAAGAAGCAAUUAAAACGAUCGUGAUUAAAAAAAAAUAAAAUAAAAAUUGCAAACAAAAUUGGAAACUUUUGUGAAGAAACAGUAACAAAAAAGCGAACGUGCCAUUUUGAUAUUUUGAUUGGAUUAAGCAAAAAACACAGAAACACAUAUAAAAAAAAUAGGAAAGGAGUAAGCUGCAAUUUAAAAGAGCUGUACAACACAAGUGAAAGGAUUACAAUAACUAUCCAAGCAGGUCCAGUAUUAGACGGAUAAUUCUUUAAGCGGUGCGGUGGUUUCCUUCCGCCUCACAGUCGGGUAUACAUAUGUGCAUGUCGGAGAAAUACAGCUAAAAGUUAAGUGACGGCUAAGGGGAAUAGAAAACAACAAAAUCUCAACUAAACCAAAACACAGUAAAACAAAAACAAAAUGGGGCGACAGCUGCGGCCUUAUGCGCUCGCGACGCUAUUCUGCUUAGUGUUCAUAG